CAGCCGUAAACUAUGCGCGUUAGGUGUAUCGGUGACCACGAGUCACCGAGGUGCCGAAGGGAAACCGUGAAACGUGCCGCCUGGGAAGUACGGUCGCAAGGCUGAAACCUAAAGGAAUUGGCGGGGGAGCACCACAACGGGUGGAGCCUGCGGUUUAAUUGGACUCAACGCCGGGAAGCUCACCGGAUAAGACAGCGGAAUGAUUGCCGGGCUGAAGACUCUGCAUGACUAGCUGAGAGGAGGUGCAUGGCGUAGACGUCU
rnacentral:rRNA from 1 species